rnacentral:rRNA from 1 species
AUUGAACGCUGGCGGCAUGCUUUACACAUGCAAGUCGAACGGCAGCGGGGACUUCGGUCCGCCGGCGAGUGGCGAACGGGUGAGUAAUGCAUCGGAACGUGCCUAUCAGUGGGGGAUAACGCUUCGAAAGGAGUGCUAAUACCGCAUAUUCUCCGAGAGGAAAGCAGGGGACCUUCGGGCCUUGCGCUGAUAGAGCGGCCGAUGUCGGAUUAGCUAGUUGGUGAGGUAAAGGCUCACCAAGGCGACGAUCCGUAGCGGGUCUGAGAGGAUGAUCCGCCACACUGGGACUGAGACACGGCCCAGACUCCUACGGGAGGCAGCAGUGGGGAAUUUUGGACAAUGGGCGAAAGCCUGAUCCAGCCAUGCCGCGUGAGUGAAGAAGGCCUUCGGGUUGUAAAGCUCUUUUGUCCGGGAGGAAAUCCUGGCCUCUAAUACAGGUCGGGGAUGACAGUACUGGAAGAAUAAGCACCGGCUAACUACGUGCCAGCCGCCGCAGUAAAAC